rnacentral:misc_RNA from 1 species
CGACGAACUCCGCCUGAUCGUCGGAGAUCUCGACUCCGAUGCAGACACGGACACCGGAGUUUCCGCUCCAGUUCCAUCUUCGAUGUUAAUAACCUUGGCCGGCUCGACACUCCGGAGGAUAAUAGUGUCAUCAUCCUGUAAAUCAAGGGUGACUUCAACAAACUCUUCAGCAGGAUUGGAAUCGGCACCGGGAGAAGUUCCUGUGCUAAGCGUUGUCUUUCCGGGAAUUGUGUCGGAGGCCCAACGGCGCUCAUGUUUCGGCCCCCUCAUUGAAAUAUAUCCGAUAUAUGUAUGAGUUAUGUGUUUGAUAUAUAUAAGGUGGUAGUUGUUACUUGUUA